CCCAAAGAAGUGUUGUGGAAAGGUGAAGAGAACGUGGUAGCUGGGAGCUACUACAGUCUAUCUAGGACGAACAAAUGAGAAAGAAAAAAAAACAAAAAAAGAGGGGUAAGAACAAAGGGAGGAGUUUGAGGGAGGGGCAGGUACCACGUGCAGAUUGUCAUUAAAAAGGCCGUUAAAGCCACUUGAAAACGAGCCACCUUCCUUCCGCUACCCCAAACCUAACUCCCUGCUAAGGCUUAACUGCUAAUAUUAAGGAUUUCAUAACAUUGCUUUGCAUGUUGCAAAUUCAACACACAUUCAACAUUUCGUUUCGGCUUUGCUUUUUUGAUCCGCUUUAUCUCUUCCUUUCUCUCUCUCUUCUGUUUUCGUUCACCAAAGAAAAUUUGAAGUAUGCUUCAUACCAAUAUAACAAAUUGAAAGACUUUGUUUUGAUCUCAACCUUCCUGGAUUCAAGUUCUUUUUGACAGCAUGUCAGAGGCCCAAAGAAGGUCAGCUAUGGCUGGUGUUGGGCGUGGAAACAAUGGAUACAUAAAUGGGGUAUUGCCGAUCAGGAGCCCUGCUACAAUAUCUGAAGUAGAUGAAUUCUGUUUUUCACUUGGAGGGAAGAAGCCGAUCCAUAGUAUUUUAAUUGCAAACAAUGGAAUGGCUGCUGUUAAAUUUAUACGUAGUAUUAGGACAUGGGCUUAUGAGACGUUUGGCACAGAAAAGGCAAUCUUGUUGGUGGCCAUGGCCACUCCUGAGGACAUGAGAAUCAAUGCAGAGCAUAUUAGAAUUGCUGAUCAGUUUGUGGAAGUUCCUGGUGGGACAAAUAAUAAUAACUAUGCCAAUGUGCAGCUUAUUGUAGAGAUGGCAGAGAUAACACAUGUUGAUGCGGUUUGGCCCGGCUGGGGUCAUGCAUCAGAAAACCCUGAGCUGCCCAAUGCACUGAAUGCAAAGGGAAUCAUUUUUCUUGGGCCGCCUUCGGUCUCUAUGGCAGCAUUGGGAGAUAAGAUUGGUUCAUCAUUGAUUGCUCAAGCAGCAGAUGUGCCAACCCUUUCAUGGAGUGGUUCUCAUGUGAAAAUUCCUGCAGAAAGUUGCCUAGUUUCUAUUCCAGAUGAAAUAUAUAGCAAAGCAUGUGUUUAUACAACAGAGGAAGCAAUUGCAAGUUGUCAAGUUGUUGGUUAUCCUGCAAUGAUCAAGGCAUCUUGGGGUGGCGGUGGUAAAGGCAUAAGAAAGGUUCAUAAUGAUGAUGAAGUUAGGGCACUAUUCAAACAAGUGCAAGGUGAAGUUCCAGGUUCACCUAUAUUUAUAAUGAAAGUUGCUUCACAGAGCCGGCAUUUAGAGGUCCAGUUACUCUGUGAUCAGUAUGGGAAUGUUGCAGCUUUGCAUAGCCGUGACUGUAGUGUUCAGAGGCGGCACCAGAAGAUUAUUGAGGAGGGUCCAAUCACUGUGGCUCCAUUGGAGACAGUCAAAAAGCUGGAGCAAGCAGCUAGAAGGUUAGCUAAAUGUGUUAAUUAUGUUGGGGCAGCUACUGUUGAAUAUCUGUAUGGUAUGGACACUGGCGAGUACUAUUUUCUAGAGCUCAACCCUCGGUUACAGGUGGAGCAUCCUGUCACAGAGUGGAUUGCUGAAGUAAAUCUGCCAGCUGCCCAAGUUGCAGUCGGGAUGGGUAUCCCUCUCUGGCAAAUUCCUGAAAUACGGCGAUUCUAUGGAAUGAAACAUGGUGGAGGUUAUGAUUCAUGGAGGAAAACAUCUGUUGUUGCCAUGAGUUUCGAUUUUGACAAGGCAGAGUCAACAAGGCCGAAAGGUCACUGUGUAGCUGUGCGCGUGACAAGUGAGGAUCCAGAUGAUGGUUUUAAACCUACCAGUGGAAAAGUACAGGAGUUGAGUUUUAAAAGCAAGCCAAAUGUGUGGGCUUACUUCUCUGUUAAGUCAGGAGGAGGCAUUCAUGAAUUUUCAGAUUCUCAAUUUGGACAUGUCUUUGCUUUUGGGGAAUCCAGAGCUUUGGCUAUAGCAAAUAUGGUUCUUGGGUUGAAAGAAAUUCAAAUCCGUGGAGAAAUUCGUACAAAUGUUGAUUACACAAUUGACCUUUUGCAUGCUUCAGAUUACAGAGAAAAUAAAAUCCACACUGGUUGGUUGGACAGUAGAAUUGCUAUGCGAGUUAGAGCUGAAAGGCCUCCUUGGUAUCUCUCAGUUGUUGGAGGAGCUCUCUACAAAGCAUCAGCCAGCAGUGCAGCUAUGGUUUCAGAUUAUGUUGGUUAUCUAGAAAAGGGUCAAAUCCCUCCCAAGCACAUAUCACUUGUGCAUUCUCAAGUGUCCUUGAACAUUGAAGGAAGCAAAUACACGAUUGACAAGGCUAGGGGGGGACCAGGAAGUUAUAGGUUGAGAAUGAAUGACUCAGAGAUUGAGGCAGAGAUACAUACAUUAAGAGAUGGUGGUUUAUUGAUGCAGUUGGAUGGAAACAGUCAUGUCAUUUAUGCAGAGGAAGAAGCUGCCGGUACUCGCCUUCUAAUUGAUGGAAGGACUUGCCUGCUACAGAAUGAACAUGACCCGUCAAAAUUAGUGGCUGAAACACCAUGCAAACUGCUGAGAUUUUUGGUUUCUGAUGGUAGUCAUAUAGAUGCUGACACACCAUAUGCAGAGGUUGAAGUUAUGAAAAUGUGUAUGCCUCUUCUUUCACCUGCUUCAGGAAUUAUUAAAAUCAAAAUGUCUGAAGGUCAAGCAAUGCAGGCUGGCGAGCUUAUUGCUAGGCUUGAUUUGGAUGAUCCUUCUGCUGUUAGGAAAGCUGAACCAUUCCAUGGGAGCUUUCCUUUACUGGGGCCUCCCACUGCAAUAGCUGGUAAAGUUCAUCAGAGAUGUGCUGCAAGUUUAAAUGCAGCCCGCAUGAUUCUUGCUGGUUAUGAGCAUAAUAUUGAUGAAGUAGUUCAAAGCCUGCUAAAUUGUCUUGACAGUCCUGAGCUGCCUUUCCUCCAAUGGCAAGAAUGCAUGUCUGUUCUGGCAACCAGGCUUCCCAAAAAUCUUAAAAAUGAGCUGGAGUCAAAGUGUAAAGGGUUUGAAGCAAUUUCAAGCUCCCUGAAUAUUGACUUUCCUGCCAAGUUAUUGAAAGGAGUCCUAGAAUCCUAUCUAUCCUCUUGUCCUGAAAAAGAAAGAGGAUCCCUAGAAAGGCUUAUUGAGCCAUUGAUGAGUCUCGUGAAGUCUUAUGAUGGUGGAAGAGAGAGCCAUGCCCGUGUUAUCGUGCGGUCCCUUUUUGAAGAGUAUCUAUCUGUUGAAGAGUUAUUCAGUGACAACAUCCAGGCUGAUGUGAUUGAACGUCUUCGACUUCAGUAUAAGAAAGAUCUUUUAAAGGUUGUGGACAUUGUGCUAUCUCAUCAGGGUGUCAAGAGUAAAAAUAAAUUGAUACUCAGACUCUUGGAACAACUCGUUUAUCCUAACCCUGCUGCUUAUAGAGAUCAACUAAUCCGAUUCUCUUCAUUAAACCAUACAAGUUAUUCUGAGUUGGCAUUGAAGGCAAGUCAAUUACUGGAACAAACCAAAUUAAGUGAACUUCGCUCCACCAUUGCUAGAAACCUUUCUGAAUUAGAAAUGUUUACUGAGGAUGGUGAAACUAUGGACACUCCCAAGAGAAAAAGUGCCAUUAAUGAAAGAAUGGAGGAUCUCGUUGGUGCUCCUUUAGCUGUUGAAGAUGCUCUUGUAGGUCUGUUUGAUCAUAGUGAUCACACCCUUCAGAGGCGGGUUGUAGAGACUUAUGUUCGGAGGCUAUACCAGCCUUAUCUUGUAAAGGGAAGUGUCCGGAUGCAGUGGCAUAGAUCUGGUCUUAUUGCUUCCUGGGAGUUCUUGGAAGAGCAUAUUGAGAAAAAGAAUGUGUCUGAUGAACAAAUGUCUGAUAAACCAUUAGUUGAGAAACAUAGUGAGAGGAAUUGGGGAGCCAUGGUUAUAAUUAAAUCUCUCCAACUUUUGCCUGCAAUUAUUAAUGCAGCAUUGAGGGAAACAACUCAUAGCCUUCAUGGAGUAACUCUAAAAGGAUCUGUAGAACCAACUACCUUUGGUAAUAUGAUGCAUAUUGCACUGGUGGGCAUCAACAAUCAGAUGAGUUUACUUCAGGAUAGUGGCGAUGAGGAUCAAGCUCAAGAGAGAAUCAAUAAGUUAGCAAAAAUACUUAAAGAUAAAGAGGUGGGGUCAAGUCUACAUUCUGCAGGUGUUGGGGUCAUUAGCUGUAUCAUACAGAGAGAUGAAGGGCGAACACCUAUGAGGCACUCAUUUCAUUGGUCAACUGAAAAGCUCUAUUACGAGGAAGAACCUCUUUUGCGUCAUCUAGAACCUCCUCUAUCCAUAUACCUUGAAUUGGAUAAGCUUAAAGGUUACCAGAAUAUACAGUAUAUGCCAUCUCGUGACCGUCAAUGGCACUUAUACACUGUUGUGGACAAGCCACUGCCAAUUCAGAGGAUGUUUCUCAGAACGCUAGUCAGGCAGCCUACGACAGAUGAUGGGCUUACAGCAUAUAGGGGACUUGAUUUUGACAUGAUGCAUAGUCAAUGGGCUACAUCUUCUACUUCAAGGAGCAUUUUGAGGUCCUUAAUGACUGCAAUGGAGGAGUUGGAGCUUAACGUUCACAAUGCUACUCUAAAAUCUGACCAUGCACAUAUGUAUCUUUGUAUCUUACGAGAGCAACAGAUAAAUGACCUUGUGCCUUAUCCCAAGAGAGUUGACCUAGAAGCUGUACAAGAAGAAGCUGCAGUAGAGUCAAUCUUAGAAGAACUGGCUCAGGAAAUUCAUGCAUUUGUUGGUGUAAGAAUGCAUAAGUUAGGUGUUUGUGAGUGGGAAGUGAAGCUCUGGAUGGAAUCUUCUGGACAAGCAAAUGGUGCUUGGAGAGUUGUGGUGACAAAUGUGACUGGCCAGACAUGCACUGUACAUAUAUACCGAGAACUAGAAGAUACUAGCCAACACAGAGUUGUGUACCAUUCGCUUUCUGUAAGGGGUCCUCUGCAUGGUGUACCACUUAAUGCUCACUAUCGGCCUUUGGGUGUUAUUGACCGUAAACGACUAAUGGCAAGGAAGAACAAUACCACUUAUUGCUAUGACUUUCCAUUGGCAUUUGAGACUGCCUUGCAACAGUCAUGGACAUCUCAGUUCCCAGGUAUUAAAAAACCCAAAGAUAAACUUCUUCCUAAGGUCACGGAGCUUGUAUUUGCUGACCAAAAAGGUAACUGGGGCACUCCUCUUGUUCCUGUCGAGCGCCAGCCCGGACUAAAUGAUGUUGGCAUGGUAGCCUGGUGCAUGGAAAUGUCUACUCCUGAGUUCCCUUCUGGAAGAACAAUUUUGAUAGUUGCGAAUGAUGUGACCUUCAAAGCUGGUUCUUUUGGCCCAAGAGAGGAUGCAUUCUUUCUUGCUGUAACUGAUCUUGCCUGCACUAAGAAACUGCCCUUAAUUUAUUUGGCUGCUAACUCUGGUGCCCGUAUCGGGGUAGCUGAGGAAGUCAAAGCCUGCUUUAAAGUUGGUUGGUCUGAUGAAUACAGCCCUGAGCGUGGUUUUCAGUAUGUUUACUUAACUCCUGAGGAUUAUGCUAGAAUUGGAUCAUCUGUCAUUGCACAUGAGAUAAAGCUGGAGUGUGGAGAGAGCAGGUGGGUUAUAGAUACUAUUGUUGGGAAGGAAGAUGGUUUGGGGGUUGAGAACUUAACUGGUAGUGGGGCCAUUGCUGGUGCAUACUCUAGAGCAUACAAGGAAACCUUUACCCUAACAUAUGUGACUGGUAGAACUGUGGGAAUUGGUGCUUAUCUUGCUCGUCUUGGCAUGCGGUGCAUACAGAGACUUGAUCAACCCAUUAUUUUGACUGGUUUCUCUGCAUUGAAUAAACUUCUUGGUCGUGAGGUGUACAGCUCCCACAUGCAACUUGGUGGACCUAAAAUCAUGGCAACAAAUGGGGUUGUCCAUCUCACCGUCUCAGAUGAUCUUGAAGGGGUGUCAGCUAUUUUGAACUGGCUAAGUUGCAUUCCUCCUCAUAUAGGUGGUCCACUUCCCAUUUUGAGUCCUUCAGAUCCUCCUGAAAGACCUGUGGAUUACUUCCCAGAAAAUUCAUGUGAUCCUCGUGCAGCUAUUUGUGGUGCUUUAGAUGGCAGUGGGAACUGGAAGGGAGGUAUUUUUGACAGGGAUAGCUUUGUGGAGACACUGGAAGGUUGGGCUAGAACAGUAGUGACAGGAAGGGCAAAGCUUGGAGGAAUCCCUGUAGGAAUAGUUGCUGUUGAGACACAGACAGUAAUGCAGGUUAUCCCCGCUGAUCCAGGACAACUUGAUUCCCAUGAGAGGGUUGUCCCUCAAGCUGGACAGGUAUGGUUUCCAGAUUCUGCUACAAAGACGGCUCAGGCAAUAAUGGAUUUCAAUAGGGAAGAGCUUCCACUUUUCAUUCUUGCCAAUUGGAGAGGCUUCUCUGGUGGGCAAAGGGAUCUUUUUGAGGGUAUCCUUCAGGCUGGAUCAACCAUCGUUGAGAAUCUUAGAAUGUACAAACAACCUGUUUUUGUGUACAUUCCCAUGAUGGGUGAGCUUCGUGGUGGGGCAUGGGUUGUUGUGGACAGCCGGAUAAAUUCAGACCAUAUUGAAAUGUAUGCUGAGCGCACUGCUAAGGGUAAUGUACUUGAGCCGGAAGGAAUGAUUGAAAUCAAGUUUAGGACAAAGGAGCUACUGGAGUGCAUGGGCAGGCUCGACCAACAACUUAUAAGUUUGAAGGCAAAACUUCAGGAAGCGAAGAGCAAUGGAGCCCAUGCACUGGUGGAUUCUCUGCAGCAGCAGAUAAGAUCACGUGAGAAGCAGCUUUUGCCAGUAUACACCCAGAUAGCCACUAAAUUUGCAGAACUUCAUGAUACUUCUCUGAGGAUGGCAGCAAAAGGGGUGAUAAAAGAAGUUGUUGACUGGGAUCGUUCACGCUCUUUCUUCUAUAGAAGAUUGCACCGGAGAAUUGCUGAGAGUUCUAUGGUCAAAAUUGUAAAAGAUGCUGCUGGUGACCAACUGUCAGAUAAAUCUGCAAUGGACUUGAUCAAGAAAUGGUUUUUGGAUUCCAAUGUUGCAAAGGGAAGAGAGGAUGCUUGGGUUAAUGAUGAAGCUUUCUUUUCAUGGAAGGAUGAUCUGAGAAAUUAUAGUGAGAAGCUACAAGAGCUGCGGGUCCAAAAGGUAUUGCUUCAGCUUACAAAUAUUGGCCAUUCAGCUUCAGAUAUGCAAGCUCUACCUCAAGGUCUUGCUGCCCUUCUAAACAAGAUGGAGCCAUCAAGCAGAAAACAAAUAGUUGAUGAACUUCGUAAGGUGCUUGGUUGAUUAAGAAGUUGGUAAUUCAUGCGAUUAAGGUCCUGCAAUUUUCUCAUUCUUGUGCUACUUGCAUUAAAAUUUUGGAAACUUGAUACCAUGCCUGGCGUGGAUCUUCUGCAACAAUUCACCUACUAUUUACAGUGGUGAUUCUGUUGGCUACAUGAAGCUUCUUGAAAAGUGGAGGUGGUGGCAGACUUGGCCUAGUCUGUAGUUUUCACAGAUUCAAUGCAAAUCAGAAACUCAACCUAAGGCAGACUUCAUAAAUUCUUUAGCUAUCUCUUGGGUUCUUGUCUUUUCUUUGGCCUUCAUCUCCUUUUCUUUUAGGCUGGCUCUACUCAGUUAUUUCUCUUUCAAUAUUUCCUUCAUUAAUCCUCUUUUGAUGCUGAAAAACAUCUUGGUAGGCAAAGUACUGGCAGUUUCAACUUAAGCUAGGUUGGUAAAUUGAGUUUAUAAGUUUCAGAAUCAUUGUAUUUGUAAAUGAAGAAAUUAUUCAUCUUAGUAAGUUUUGGAUUUGUGGUGUCUUACAUCUCAAGUUAGAUACCAACAAUAUAUCCAACUAUAAGCCAUUAAUUUCUCCCCCAUUUACCUAAAGAUUUGUUCAAAAGGUUUAUUUCUUUUUUUUUUUUCAUUAAUUGGUUAAAGCAAAUGAAACACUCCGACGCUUAAUUUUUAUACAAGCAAAAGCUAUUUUAUAAGUAUUUAAACUAAAUCAAUAUAUAUAUGCAAGUACAGAAAUAUGGAGCCGCCAGGCGGCAGGGGGGCAUAUUGAAAAUUCUAAAUGAUUUUAUUUUUAUAAAAUUGAAAACUGAAAAGAGUGAGAAGAACAUGACAAAAGCAGAUAUAUAUGGUAACAGCACUCGAAACUUCUUUUUAAUAUUUUCUUGAUCAUUUCUUCUUCUUCUGCUCUAAUUGUUUCUUCUUCUUCUGCUGCUCUUCCAUUGCUAAUUGUUUCUUCUUCUUCCUCU